CCCAUACUUAGUGUGAGUACAUUUUCAAGUAUCAUAUAUAUCUCGUAUAACUCCAACUGCAAUCUCUUUUCUGCUUUAGCCCCGUGCAUAAGAGAUGGUAGAUAAGAGGCAUAAUUCAAUACAACCUCCCUCCCAAACUCAGAAUGGUAGGAUGGUUUUUUCACUUUUUUCUUUUACUUUCUUUUGCCUAAUCUUUUUCUUUCUCCUGCCUCCUUCCUCUCUCGCAAAGUAUCUGCAGCCUAAAAUAUUAUUUCGACAAUCCCAUUGGUGAGAUUGUGCAAAAUUGUGUCUACUAUGACGGUGUGAAAUUUCGUCUCGAUCCGACGGUGAAAUCUCCGACCAACUCCCAAACACUAAGUGUUGUUCGGAUUCCUCGCAGCCGUUCGUCACAGCACGAAUGUCUGACUUGUUUGCAUGUGUCCCAUUGAUCCAAUCAUUAUUUCGACGAUCCCUUCGGUGAGGUUGUGCGGCAUUUUGUCUACUACCAAAGUGUAAAAUUUCGUCGCGAUCCAACGGUGUAAUCUUCAGAAAACUUGAAAACACCGAGUGUUGUUUGAAUUUCUCGCAACCCUGCGGGACAGCA
rnacentral:lncRNA from 1 species